GCUCAGGAUGAACGCUAGCUACAGGCUUAACACAUGCAAGUCGAGGGGCAGCGGGAUUGAAGCUUGCUUCAAUCGCCGGCGACCGGCGCACGGGUGAGUAACGCGUAUCCAACCUUCCGUUUACUCAGGGAUAGCCUUUCGAAAGAAAGAUUAAUACCUGAUAGUAUGGUAAGAUUGCAUGAUAGUACCAUUAAAGAUUUAUUGGUAAACGAUGGGGAUGCGUUCCAUUAGGUAGUAGGCGGGGUAACGGCCCACCUAGCCUACGAUGGAUAGGGGUUCUGAGAGGAAGGUCCCCCACAUUGGAACUGAGACACGGUCCAAACUCCUACGGGAGGCAGCAGUGAGGAAUAUUGGUCAAUGGGCGAGAGCCUGAAC
rnacentral:rRNA from 1 species